CAAUGUAAGUCAAUGGGACUUUGGCCUUUUUGCAACCCAGUGGUACUUCCUAUAUGGAACACGGAAGGAGGGGGGGCUUGCUUUGUCCAGUUAUUCUAUAUACAGUCUAUGGUCCAAAUUCACUGCACUUAACAUCCGGUCUACCCGCUAACGAAGGACCCGGCCAUCGGAGAUCGCGAAAACCACGGCCUAAGGAGGAUGCGGAACCCGAAUUUGGACACAGCCAACGUCACAUCACUAUUUACAACCACAAAAUGCGGGUUGCAUCAGGAAGGGCAUCCGGCAUGAAAACUCAGCUGUGACCCCUGAUGGGAUAAACUGAAAGGGUCUGAUCGGCAUCUGCUGUUGCCAUGGAAGGAAGCACCGUUGAUGUGAAGGGACACGGCACAUUCCUGGGUGAUGGAGCGACUCGGGUUGUCAGGACUCUCCUGUGUGAUUCCAAGUUUCAUGUGGACCUGACCACCAGAGUCCACAGUCGUCAUGGAAGCCUUCACUAUGGUCUCCACCUCCUGAAAGAG